rnacentral:rRNA from 1 species
GGCGGAUAUCGUUAUUUUCUCACCUUCACAGAUGAUUUAAGCAGAUAUGGGUAUAUCUACUUAAUGAAACAUAAGUCUGAAACAUUUGAAAAGUUCAAAGAAUUUCAUAGUGAAGUUGAAAAUCAUCGUAACAAGAAAAUAAAGUUUCUACGAUCUGAUCGUGGAGGAGAAUAUUUGAGUUACGAGUUUGGUGUACAUUUGAAAAAUUGUGGAAUAGUUUCGCAACUCACGCCACCUGGAACACCACAGCGUAAUGGUGUGUCCGAAUGUCGUAAUCGUACUUUACUAGAUAUGGUGCGAUCUAUGAUGUCUCUUACUGAUUUACCGCUAUCGUUUUGGGGUUAUGCUCUAGAGACGGCCGCAUUCACGUUAAAUAGGGCACCAUCAAAAUCCGUUGAGACGACGCCUUAUGAACUGUGGUUUGGCAAGAAACCAAAGUUGUCGUUU